AUUGAACGCUGGCGGCAGGCCUAACACAUGCAAGUCGAACGGUAACAGGAAGAAGCUUGCUUCUUUGCUGACGAGUGGCGGACGGGUGGGUAAUGUCUGUGAAACUGCCUGAUGGAGGGGGAUAACUACUGGAAACGGUAGCUAAUACCGCAUAACGUCGCAAGACCAAAGAGGGGGACCUUCGGGCCUCUUGCCAUCGGAUGUGCCCAGAUGGGAUUAGCUAGUAGGUGGGGUAACGGCUCACCUAGGCGACGAUCCCUAGCUGGUCUGAGAGGAUGACCAGCCACACUGGAACUGAGACACGGUCCAGACUCCUACGGGAGGCAGCAGUGGGGAAUAUUGCACAAUGGGCGCAAGCCUGAUGCAGCCAUGCCGCGUGUAUGAGGAAGGCCUUCGGGUUGUAAAGUACUUUCAGCGGGGAGGAAGGGAGUAAAGUUAAUACCUUUGCUCAUUGACGUUACCCGCAGAAGAAGCACCGGCUAACUCCGUG
rnacentral:rRNA from 1 species